rfam:Cavia porcellus supercont2_19 genomic scaffold, whole genome shotgun sequence.
GGGGAUUUAGCUCAGUGGCGUAAGUGCCUGCCUUGGAAGCAGGCAGUUGUGAGUUCAAUCCCUC